rnacentral:sRNA from 1 species
GAUGCACAAAGAAAAUAUUUUGUUGCGAAUGCUUAGGUCAAGUUGGUAAUUUUUCUUAUAUCUCCCCCUCUUGGAGCCCAAGUAUCAUAUAUGCCCCAU